rnacentral:misc_RNA from 1 species
GAUGAAGAACGUAGCGAAAUGCGAUACGUAAUGUGAAUUGCAGAAUUCAGUGAAUCAUCGAAUCUUUGAACGCACAUUGCGCCUGCCAGCACUCUGGCAGGCAUGCCUGUUCGAGCGUCAUUUCAACCAUCAAGCCCUAGGCUUGCGUUGGAGCCCUGCGGCUGCCGCAGGCCCCUAAAAGCAGUGGCGGGCUCGCUAUCACACCGAGUGCAGUAGAUUACUCUUCGCUCAGGGCGUGUGGCGGGUUCCAGCCGUGAAACCCCCUACUUCUCAAGGUUCACCUCGGAUCAGGUAGGAAUACCCGCUGAACUUAAGCAUAUCAAUAAGCGGAGGA